UGGCUCAGUUGGUAGAGCAUGGUGUUUGCAACGACAGGGGUGUGGGUUCGAUUCCCAC
rfam:Salmo salar isolate Sally breed double haploid chromosome ssa17, whole genome shotgun sequence.